rnacentral:rRNA from 1 species
UCCUACGGGGGGCAGCAGUGGGGGAUAUUGCACAAUGGGGGGAACCCUGAUGCAGCGACGCCGCGUGGGUGAAGGAGUGCUUCGGCAUGUAAAGCCCUAUCGGCAGGGAAGAAGCAAGACGGUACCUGACUAAGAAGCCCCGGCUAACUACGUGCCAGCAGCCGCGGUAAUACGUAGGGGGCGAGCGUUAUCCGGAUUUACUGGGUGUAAAGGGAGCGUAGACGGCGGCGCAAGUCCGGAGUGAAAGCCCACGGCCCAACCGGGGGACUGCUCUGGAAACGGUGCGGCUUGAGUGCGGGAGGGGG